rnacentral:rRNA from 1 species
GAUGAACGCUGGCGGCGUGCCUAAUACAUGCAAGUCGAGCGAACGGACGAGAAGAUUGCUUCUCUGAUGUUAGCGGCGGACGGGUGAGUAACACGUGGAUAACCUACCUAUAAGACUGGGAUAACUUCGGGAAACCGGAGCUAAUACCGGCUAAUAUUUUGAACCGCAUGGUUCAAAAGUGAAAGACGGUCUUGCUGUCACUUAUAGCUGGAUCCGCGCUGCAUUAGCUAGUUGGUAAGGUAACGGCUUACCAAGGCAACGAUGCAUAGCCGACCUGAGAGGGUGAUCGGCCACACUGGAACUGAGACACGGUCCAGACUCCUACGGGAGGCAGCAGUAGGGAAUCUUCCGCAAUGGGCGAAAGCCUGACGGAGCAACGCCGCGUGAGUGAUGAAGGUCUUCGGAUCGUAAAACUCUGUUAUUAGGGAAGAACAUAUGUGUAAGUAACUGUGCACAUCUUGACGGUACCUAAUCAGAAAGCCACGGCUAACUACGUG